AAAUGAAAACUUUGAGUUUAUCAUGCCCAUACAUUUAUAUGGGCAUCACUGAACAGGACUGGGGAAUAACUGCAGAGCCUCAUUGAUAUGGUUUGGCUCUGUGUCCCCACUCAAUUCUCAUGUAGAACUAUAAUCCCCACAUAUCAGGGGAGGGGCCUGGUGGCAGUGAUUAUAUCUUGGGGGCAAAUUUCCCCCUUGCUGUUCUCAUGAUAGUGAGUGAGUUCUCAUGAGAUCUGGUGGUUUAAAGCUGUGUGGCACUUUGCCCUUCACUUGUCUCGCUCCCCUGCUCCACCAUGGGAAGAUGUACCUUGCUUUCACCACACCUUUCGCCAUGAUUGUAAGUUUCUGCCACGAUUGUAAAUUUCCUGGGGAGUCAGCCAUGCAGAACUAAAUUCCAGGGACUAAUAUUGAGAUGAACCAGGCAUGGAGACCAAGCUGCAAAAUUCCAGAAAUGACCUCCAGGUUGUUAGUCUACAACCCAGCCAUCGUCAAGAUAACAUUAGACUGCGUUCCAGGUGGACCAUGACUCAAGAUAGCCACCAGACCAAGGCACGGACACCUAGCACCCAGCACCACUCCUGCAUGCCUCCCACUCUAAGUUCCCCUUUAUAAACACCUCUCCACAGUCGAAAGUUUGAAAUCGUCUUUUAAGGGCAUGAGCUUGGCCAUUCCCAGAUCUUGGCAUUUGAAUAAAGUAGCUCUCUGUUCAUCACACCCCGCUUCUCGUGUUUUCAGCCUCUGAGUGGAGCAGCCAGACUUGCGUGUGGUGACGCUACUGUAUGGCUACAUCAAACAGAAAUAGAGACCAAAGAAGAGAAUGAGGAGAGUAAAGUUAGCAGAAGUGGAAAAAUA
rnacentral:lncRNA from 1 species